UCCCUGGUGGUCUAGUGGUUAGGAUUUGGUGCUCUGAGUGCUGCAGCCUGUGUUCAAUUCCCAGUCAGGGAA
rfam:Chelonia mydas contig268047, whole genome shotgun sequence.